rnacentral:rRNA from 1 species
AACGAACGCUGGCGGCAGGCUUAACACAUGCAAGUCGAACGGUUGUAGCAAUACAGCAGUGGCAGACGGGUGAGUAACACGCGGGAACGUUCCUAGGGGUACGGAACAACUCAGGGAAACUUAAGCUAAUACCGUAUACGUCCGUGAGGAGAAAGAUUUAUCGCCCUUAGACGGGCCCGCGUCGGAUUAGCUAGUUGGUGGGGUAACGGCCUACCAAGGCGACGAUCCGUAGCUGAUCUUAGAGGAUGAUCAGCCACACUGGGACUGAGACACGGCCCAGACUCCUACGGGAGGCAGCAGUGGGGAAUCUUGGACAAUGGGCGCAAGCCUGAUCCAGCCAUGCCGCGUGAGUGAAGAAGGUCUUCGGAUUGUAAAGCUCUUUUGCCAGGGACGAUAAUGACGGUACCUGGAGAAUAAGCCCCGGCAAACUUCGUACCAGCAGCCGCAGUAA